GAAUAAAAGAUCUGCAGCUGCUGGAAUACCUUCUAAAACAAAGAGAAAACUGAUCAGGAAACAAGAAGCACGGAGAAGAAUUUUCAGUUACAUCAUUCAGGAAACAAUGUCACCCUUGGAGCCGUUAAUCGCGCAUAGCACAGCACUGCCUAGAAGAAACUAGAGCUAUCUGCAUGACUCACUGAGAAACAAUCCUACAGACCAGCCCACAUCUAAUGGGGAGUACUGCAGACAGAUCGAGGAAAGCAUAAGGAUUGAUGACAGUUUUACUUUUCAAGUGCGUCUGCAAGUCAUGAGUAGGAAGCUGAUCUUUAGUUUCUGUGAUGUAAAUAGUUGUGCUUCCAGUUGGACAUAAAACAGCCUGUGCUUUCCUAA